AAGCACAGAGAACACCCAAGUGUGAUAUAUAGCACCCUUGGCAGCAAAUCUGUGCAAGAUUAAUGACUGUCCUUUUCCUCUGCGUCUGGUGAAAAUAACCAUUCACGGGCACGUAUUCAUAAGUACAGUACAUAG